rnacentral:rRNA from 1 species
CACGUAGUUAGCCGGGGCUUCUUCUUCAGGUACCGUCAUUAUCGUUCCUGCUGACAGAGCUUUACGCGCCGAGGCGCUUCUUCACUCACGCGGCGUCGCUGCAUCAGGGUUUCCCCCAUUGUGCAAUAUUCCCCACUGCUGCCUCCCGUAGGAGUUUGGGCCGUGUCUCAGUCCCAAUGUGGCCGUCCACCCUCUCAGGCCGGCUACCGAUCGUCGCUUUGGUGGGCCGUUACCCCGCCAACUGGCUAAUCGGACGCGGGCUCAUCCCGUACCACCGGAGUUUUCAAGGCCGGGGCAUGCGCCCCCGCCUGUCAUGCGGUGUUAGCACCUGUUUCCAGGUGUUAUCCCCCGGUACGGGGCAGAUUGCCCACGCGUUACUCACCCGUCCGCCACUAGGCCGCGUCCGCCCCGGGUCCGGUAAACCUUCCCCGGGCCUCGCGCGGCCCCGUUCGACUUGCAUGUGUUAGGCACGCCGCCAGCGUUCAUCCUGAGCCAGGAUCAAACUCU